CUCACAUGUUCGUGGUGAUACCAGUGUAAACAAACCAACUGUGCUGCUAGGUGUAUUAAGUCUAGCACAUACAGUUAUAUACAGUGCAUAAUACUUGAUAAUCAAUAACUAUGUUGCUGGCUUAUGUAUUUACUGUACUUUUUAACGUUAUUUUAGAGUACACUCUUUCUACUUUUUAAAAAGUUAACUGUAAACAGCCUCAGGCAGGUUCUUCAGGAGAUAUUCCAGAAGUCAUUGCUAUCACAGAUGACAGCUCCAUGCGUGUUAUUGCCCCUGAAGAGCUUUCAGUGGGACAAGUUGUGGAGGUCCUCAGAACACUGCCAUUAAGGGCUUCGAGGUGAAGAUACAUUAGAUUAAAAAUAUGGCAGACAGGGACCCUGAAGCACUUUAAGAAAGCUUGGUCUGCAGGAAAUCCUCAUCUUGGCUCCAAUCAUCAGAAAACUUGAUCUUUACCAGAGAUUGAAUAACUUUUGAUGGUCUGUCUCCAUGGCAUGAACAGUUCAUGGAGUGAACACUUAAAUGAAGAAGGAAAUGGCUCUGACUCCUGAUAUGGUAUAAACACCUGUCUAAAUCAUCCUGAGAGACUUCAGGUCCUCUUAUCUUUAUACUCAAGUGUUAAAAUAAUGAUUAAGUUCAUUAUCAUAUACAAAUAACAAAUCUUCCUGACAAAGCAAAAAUAAGGGAACUAAAUAAGAGCUUAAAAUUUUAAGAUACUAUGAAAAACAGCCAUCACAAUUUUACACUAAGUGUCAACAACUCACAUCCGGCAAUUGUUUUAGAAAUGAAAAUAUAUAAAAGAAAUUAUUUAUGUGCCUGGUUUUUUAUACAGUCAUUGAAUCUACUCAAAAUAUUUAGCUAUAUUUAGUGAUUUUGUGUUCAGUGCUAUUUAGAAGAAACGAGAACAGUAAAAAGAACUUAGUUACAGUAAAAAAGACCCAGUCAACAUAAAUUUAACUUAAAACAUGGUUUGACUUUUUAUACUAGGAUUUUGGCUAGCAUGUAAGUUUCUGUAUUAUAAUUAAGGAUAAUAAAGAUUUCCCGAUCCUAAAUUCUAACUUCUCUGAUCCUCUGUAACUUAACUUGUAAUUAAAAAGAUCACAAAAUAAAGAAGUUGAUGUCUCUAUUUACUUGCUAAUCAAUUGUUUGUUUGUUUCACAAAUUCAUUAUUUUUCCAAAAUGCUAAUCUAAUUUUCAGUCUUGAUUACAUGGAGAACUAAUUUAGAGGGUUUUUUUUUCUUCAAUUCUUAUGUUACAUUGGUUCAAGGAUGAACAAAAAUAUACAGAAAACCUGUCCAUCUUUGGGUGAGAUUUCUUUGCCAGGUUUAAGUAUUUGUGAAAACAAAAUCUGCUUAACGUGUCAAACUUGUCUAUUAUUCUUACUGUAAAAUGUGGAAUGAAAAGGGCUUAAUAGAUGCAAGUAAAAUAAUCAUAGCUAAUAUUUACUCAGUGCUUAUUAUUUUCACUGUAUUAACAUGCUUUGUGUACCUUGUCUUCUUUAGCUCUCACCCCAACCCUACGCAGUAUUUUAUUGUUAUCUCUAUAUUACAGACUGGAUAAAAAAUUAACCUAGAGAGGUCAGAGAAAUUGCCUAAACUCAUGUGGCUUUUAAAUAGGUAAAUCAAAACUUAUUUGCGUAAUUUGACUUCAAAGCUAGUAUACAUAAACAGCCAAUAAUUCUACCAUCAUAUUUUCUUUAAUUUAAAAAAAUUGUUUAUUUUUUUCACUUCAUUUUUGAAGGAAAAGAUUCAUGUGCUAUUUAAAAUAUGUAAUUUAUGCAUAUUAACAUUUUUUAAAGUUUGUAGUUUCUCUUGUUUGUAUUUUAAGAGCUUAGUAGAAUCAGAAAUUGUGUAAUAACUGAAUCCAUAUGAAACAAUUUAGCAAAUUGGAAAUCCAAUUGGUAUUUUCAAACUAUUCUAUAAAUUAAACUAAUAAAAUUGAUUAGAUACUAACCUAUUGGUCUGGUUGAGAUAGUAAGAUUAUCUAGAUCACAAACCAUCUGCACAAUUGGUCUAUUUAUUUUGUUUGCUCUAGAAAAGUGAAUCACAUUGACCAUGGAUGAAGUGAAUCAGUUCUAUCAUGGCAUCUAAUCUGCCGUGCAGCUUCAGAAACUGACCCUUGUCUAUAAAUUGUAGAAAGUUCGAAAUGAUAGUAAGGAAAAACAUAUUUGGAUUCCAAAUAAACUACCUAUCUUUGUAGGUAUCUGCAUAAAUCACUGCUUCUUGAGUGACUUCUCUCCUACUCUUUCAACUAGGUAUCCAAAGUUGUUGCAUAAACUAGGAAUUAUUUUAAAUCACAGUAAGAAUGUUUAAUCACAAACACUUGCUUAUCUUCAUGAAAUCUGAAAUGAAAGCAGUAAUAAUGUGAAUCACGUAUAUGCAUUUAGAUAAGACAGUAUACAAGGUCAGUGCUGAAAAGCAGGAUUUCUUUUUUUGUUUUUUGCCUCUUCCAAAGUCUUAAACUGUUACUCAUUGGAGCUUUCAAUGCAUCUCAUACAAUGAAUAUUUCUUUUUUUUUUUAAAGGCGAAAACACAUGUAAUUUUAUUUUUGUUUAACCUUAAGCUUGCCAACUUCUUUCCCUGAACAGCAUUUGUCUUGUUUAGAUAUCCACCUACACUUAUAUUAGAAACGUACUGCAAACUAUUUAGUGAUUCCACUUUUAAUUUAUAGUCAUAUGACUAAGGUGUUUUGAAUAUAAGCCUAUCUGUAUGCCAGAUAUAAACUUCAGGAACUCUUAAUGUCUCUUCUUUUACAGAACCUCUACCUCUAUCCUUAUGUAAUUAGGUUGAUUAAGAAAAUUAAAGGCCACGGGCCAGAAAACUAACUUCCACAAAUGCAACAAAAGGAAAAUUUCUCCAGUAACCUCUAUGCAAUGGGAAAUCUUUCUUUUAAGUACCAAGUCAAUUUCUUCAACUGUACAAUGUAUUCUAAUUUGAAGGUUUUCAAAUAUAA